rnacentral:sRNA from 1 species
AGUUGCCGAAUUUCGUUUGUGAAAACGGGGGAACCAUUCCGGGUGAAUUAUUCUUGCGAGCAAGAGAAUAUAGGGAACCUUUAACCGAACCCUCAGCUAACUCCGUAGGCAUUGAAGGGAGAA